UACCUGGUUGAUUCUGCCAGUAGUCAUAUGCUUGUCUCAAAGAUUAAGCCAUGCAUGUCUAAGUAUAAGCAAUUAUACAGCGAAACUGCGAAUGGCUCAUUAUAUAAGUUAUCGUUUAUUUGAUAGUACCUUACUACUUGGAUAACCGUGGUAAUUCUAGAGCUAAUACAUGCUAAAAAUCCCGACUUCGGAAGGG
rnacentral:ncRNA from 1 species